rnacentral:rRNA from 1 species
GACGAACGCUGGCGGCGUGCUUAACACAUGCAAGUCGAACGGAAAGGCCCUGCUUUUGUGGGGUGCUCGAGUGGCGAACCGGUGAGUAACACGUGAGUAACCUGCCCUUGACUUUGGGAUAACUUCAGGAAGCUGGGGCUAAUACCGGAUAGGAGCUCCUGCUGCAUGGUGGGGGUUGGAAAGUUUCGGCGGUUGGGGAUGGACUCGCGGCUUAUCAGCUUGUUGGUGGGGUAGUGGCUUACCAAGGCUUUGACGGGUAGCCGGCCUGAGAGGGUGACCGGCCACAUUGGGACUGAGAUACGGCCCAGACUCCUACGGGAGGCAGCAGUGGGGAAUAUUGCACAAUGGGCGGAAGCCUGAUGCAGCAACGCCGCGUGCGGGAUGACGGCCUUCGGGUUGUAAACCGCUUUCGCCUGUGACGAAGCGUGAGUGACGGUAAUGGGUAAAGAAGCACCGGCUAACUACGUG